GUGGGGAAUAUUGGACAAUGGGCGAAAGCCUGAUCCAGCCGUGCCGCGUGUGUGAAGAAGGUCUUCGGAUUGUAAAGCACUUUGAGUUGGGAGGAAGGGCAGUAAGUUAAUACCUUGCUGUUUUGACGUUACCAACAGAAUAAGCACCGGCUAACUUCGUGCCAGCAGCCGCGGUAAUACGAAGGGUGCAAGCGUUAAUCGGAAUUACUGGGCGUAAAGCGCGCGUAGGUGGUUCAGCAAGUUGGAGGUGAAAUCCCCGGGCUCAACCUGGGAACUGCCUCCAAAACUACUGAGCUAGAGUACGGUAGAGGGUAGUGGAAUUUCCUGUGUAGCGGUGAAAUGCGUAGAUAUAGGAAGGAACACCAGUGGCGAAGGCGACUACCUGGACUGAUACUGACACUGAGGUGCGAAAGCGUGGGGAGCAAACAGGAUUAGAAACCCGUGUAGUCC
rnacentral:rRNA from 1 species